rnacentral:rRNA from 1 species
GUGUCAGCAGCCGCGGUAAGACGAACCGUGCGAACGUUAUUCGGAAUCACUGGGCUUAAAGGGCGCGUAGGCGGGCGGCCGAGUCCGGGGUGAAAGCCCCCAGCUCAACUGGGGAAGUGCCUCGGAUACCGGCCGUCUCGAGGGGGAUAGGGGCGUGCGGAACUUCCGGUGGAGCGGUGAAAUGCGUAGAUAUCGGAAGGAACACCGGUGGCGAAAGCGGCGCGCUGGAUCCCUUCUGACGCUGAGGCGCGAAAGCCAGGGGAGCGAACGGGAUUAGAUACCCUGGUAGUCC